CAACGAUAGCAAGUGUUUUGUUGUGUGACUUGUGAAUUGCCCCCGAAGGAGAACGACGUCAGGGGAGCAAAUCGUUU
rnacentral:sRNA from 1 species